rnacentral:rRNA from 1 species
AGGGUUUGAUCCUGGCUCAGAACGAACGUUGGCGGCGUGGAUGAGGCAUGCAAGUCGAACGCGAAAGCCGCAAGGUGAGUAGCGUGGCGGACGGGCGAGUAACGCGUAGUCAAGCUGCCUGCGAGACGGGGAUAACCUCGGGAAACCGAGGCUAAGACCCGAUGGUCUGCCUGGGGCGCAUGUUCCAGGCAGUAAAUGGGCGGGAUCCUUCGGGAUCGCCUGCUCGCAGAGGUGACUGCGUCCCAUCAGCUAGUUGGUAGGGUAACGGCCUACCAAGGCAACGACGGGUAGCCGGCCUUAGAGGGUGGUCGGCCGCACUGGGACUGAGACACUGCCCAGACUCCUACGGGAGGCUGCAGUCGAGAAUCUUCCGCAAUGGGCGAAAGCCUGACGGAGCGACGCCGCGUGGAGGACGAAGGCCUUCGGGUUGUAAACUCCUGUCACGAGUUAAGAAGGCGUCGGUACGAACAGUGCCGACGUUUGACGUAAGCUCGAGAGGAAGCACUGGCUAACUCUGUGCCAGCAGCCGCGGUAAUACAGAGAGUGCAAACGUUGUUCGGAAUUACUGGGCUUAAAGCGCACGUAGGCUGCGUCGUAAGUGUCAAGUGAAAUCCCACGGCUCACCCGUGGAACUGCUUGGCAUACUGCGAUGCUUGAGUGUGGUAGGGGAGAGCGGAACUCCUGGUGGAGCGGUGAAAUGCGUAGAUAUCAGGAGGAACACCGGUGGCGAAGGCGGCUCUCUGGUCCACAACUGACGCUGAGGUGCGAAAGCUAGGGGAGCAAACGGGAUUAGAUACCCCGGUAGUCCUAGCUGUAAACGAUGGGCACUAGCUUGGGGUCUCCCUGUGGGAUCCCAGGUGGAGUAAAAAUGAUAAGUGCCCCGCCUGGGGAGUAUGGUCGCAAGGCUGAAACUCAAAGGAAUUGACGGGGGCUCA